GAGGCGGUAACUCAGCUGGGAGAGUGCUAGACUGAAGAUCUAGAAGUCGUGGGUUCAACUCCCACCUGCCUCA
rnacentral:tRNA from 8 species